AUUGAACGCUGGCGGCAGGCCUAACACAUGCAAGUCGAGCGAGCGGCGGACGGGUGAGUAAUGUAUGGAGAUCUGCCUGAUGGAGGGGGAUAACUACUGGAAACGGUAGCUAAUCCCGCUUACCAUCAGAUGACCCCAUAUGGGAUUAGCUUGUAGGUGGGGUAACGGCUCACCUAGGCGACGAUCCCUAGCUGGUCUGAGAGGAUGAUCAGCCACACGGGGACUGAGACACGGCCCAGACGCCUACGUGAGGCAGCAGUGGGGAAUAUUGCACAAUGGGCGAAAGCCGGAUGGAGCCAUGCCGCGUGUAUGAAGAAGGCCUUCGGGUUGUAAAGUACUUUCAGUCGGGAGGCGUUACCGACAGAAGAAGCACCGGCUAACUCCGUGCCAGCAGCCGCGGUAAUUC
rnacentral:rRNA from 1 species